rnacentral:rRNA from 1 species
CCUACGGGCGGCAGCAGUGGGAAUAUUGGACAAUGGGCGAAAGCCUGAUCCAGCAAUGCCGCGUGUGUGAAGAAGGUCUUAGGGUUGUAAAGCUCUUUCACCGGUGAAGAUAAUGACGGUAACCGGAGAAGAAGCCCCGGCUAACUUCGUGCCAGCAGCCGCGGUAAUACGAAGGGGGCUAGCGUUGUUCGGAAUUACUGGGCGUAAAGCGCGCGUAGGCGGAUAGAUAAGUCAGAGGUGAAAUCCCGGGGCUCAACCCCGGAAUUGCCUUUGAUACUGUUUAUCUUGAGUGCAGAAGGGGUAAGUGGAAUUCCGAGUGUAGAGGUGAAAUUCGUAGAUAUUCGGAGGAACACCAUUGGCGAAGGCGGCUUACUGGUCUGCAACUGACGCUGAGGCGCGAAAGCGUGGGGAGCAAACAGGAUUAGAUACCCCAGUAGUC